rnacentral:lncRNA from 1 species
CUUGACACCACAAAACCUAACACGGUGGCUGUGCCACCCCAAGUAUUUGCACCCCCUUUGUAGCACAUGUUUAGCUUUCUUCUUUUUCUCUCUCUUAGUUAAUUUCUGACACUUUAAAUUAGAUUGCAAAAUUAACAGUAUUACCACCUGACAACUUUCUCUUUUUUUCUUUCUUUCUUUCUCUCUCCCCACUUUUAAGUACAUUGUGGUAUAUGAAAUAUUUUUAAGUACAUAUUUAGUACAUUAGGUUAUAUGAACUGUACCAUAUCAGUUUUUGAAUGCCCCUGUACAUGAACUUAUGAUACAACUACAUCGUAUGAUACAUCACAUGCAUUUUAACAGUUUUUGAAGUACCUCAUGCACAUGACAGAUACAUCAAGGCAUAUGACAAGUAC